GUAGGGAAUAUUGCACAAUGGGCGAAAGCCUGAUGCAGCAACGCCGCGUGCGCGAUGACGGCCUUCGGGUUGUAAAGCGCUUUUCGGGGAGAUGAGGAAGGACAGUAUCCCCGGAAUAAGGCUCGGCUAACUACGUGCCAGCAGCCGCGGUAACACGUAGGAGCCAAGCGUUAUCCGAAUUCACUGGGCGUAAAGCGCGUGUAGGCGGCUUGGUAAGUUGGAUGUGAAAGCUCCUGGCUCAACUGGGAGAGGACGUUCAAUACUGCCGGGCUAGAGGGCGACAGAGGGAGGUGGAAUUCCCGGUGUAGUGGUGAAAUGCGUAGAUAUCGGGAGGAACACCAGUGGCGAAAGCGGCCUCCUGGGUCGCACCUGACGCUCAGACGCGAAAGCUAGGGGAGCGAACGGGAUUAGAAACCCCUGUAGUCC
rnacentral:rRNA from 1 species